CUACGGGAUGCACCAGUGAGGAAUAUUGCACAAUGGGGGGAACCCUGAUGCAGCAACGCCGCGUGGAGGAUGACGCAUUUCGGUGUGUAAACUCCUUUUAUAUGUCAAGAAAAUGACGGUAGCAUAUGAAUAAGCACCAGCUAACUCCGUGCCAGCAGCCGCGGUAAUACGGAGGGUGCAAGCGUUACUCGGAAUCACUGGGCGUAAAGGACGCGUAGGCGGGUUGGAAAGUCAGGUGUGAAAUCCUACAGCUUAACUGUAGAACUGCACUUGAAACUUCUAAUCUAGAGUAUGGGAGGGGGAGAUGGAACUAGUGGUGUAGGGGUAACAUCCGUAGAUAUCACUAGGAAUACCUAAAGCGAAGGCGAUCUCCUGGAACAUUACUGACGCUAAGGCGUGAAAGCGUGGGGAGCAAACAGGAUUAGAUACCCCGGUAGUC
rnacentral:rRNA from 1 species